rnacentral:rRNA from 1 species
CAGUAGCCGCGGGAACACGUAGGGUGCAAGCGUUAAUCGGAAUUGCUGGGCGUAAAGCGUGCGCAGGCGGUGAUGUAAGACAGUUGUGAAAUCCCCGGGCUCAACCUGGGAACUGCAUCUGUGACUGCAUCGCUGGAGUGCGGCAGAGGGGGAUGGAAUUCCGCGUGUAGCAGUGAAAUGCGUAGAUAUGCGGAGGAACACCGAUGGCGAAGGUAAUCCCCUGGGCCUGCACUGACGCUCAUGCACGAAAGCGUGGGGAGCAAACGGGAUUAGAUACCCGCGUAGUCCCUGUCUCUUAUAC